UACGUAGGGUGCAAGCGUUGUCCGGAAUCAUUGGGCGUAAAGGGUGCGUAGGUGGCGGGGUAAGUCAGGUGUGAAAUCUCGGGGCUCAACCCCGAAACUGCACUUGAUACUGCCUUGCUCGAGUACUGGAGAGGAGAUUGGAAUUUACGGUGUAGCAGUGAAAUGCGUAGAUAUCGUAAGGAAGACCAGUGGCGAAGGCGAAUCUCUGGACAGUUACUGACACUGAGGCACGAAGGCCAGGGGAGCAAACGGG
rnacentral:rRNA from 1 species